AUAACUAUAACAUUGAAAGGUAGAAUGAUAGGGUAACGCCUUGAAAUGCCUUCUCAAAGGUUACGGCUAGCGUCUUAGUUGUCAAUGAUUAAGAGGUUAGAAGCCCGUUAAAGUGGCUGAGAGCUACCCUAACUUACUGUAGUAAUAUGGUAAGAGGAAAUGCGAACUAGAGGUAGUCGAGUAGUGAUAGGCCAGAGUCCUAUAA
rnacentral:ncRNA from 1 species